GGGUCCUUUUCCUUAUCGGUAGGGGAGGGGGUAACUAGGCUUGUCUGUUUGUUUAACGGAGGUCCUGGGGACUGAACCCAGGACCUCGCGCGUGCGCAGCGCACGCCCUGCCCAGAGCGACACCCUCCUCCUAAGAAGCCAGUCUUCGGGGGCGGGCCCAAGCCGGCCGGCUGGUGGGGUGCCGGGUGCCAGCACGUGCCAGCCCGCCUUUCUGCCUGCUGCAGACCCUCCUCUUCUGACCGGCAUCUUAUUCCUGUGGCCUUUGUGUCUGAGAAGUGGUUUGAAAUCUCCUGCUGACUGGCCGAAGUCUUUUUUACCUCCUGGGGGCAGGGCAGACGCCAUGUGUCUGUUUCAUGGAUUCCGUUGGUGAACCUGUAAAAAAAAAUAAAUCAAAAAUUACAAACCCCCCCCCACAAAACCUAAAACUAAACUAUGUAAGGGGAGGGUCCCUGCGCCCACCACCUCUGUUUGCCGGUGGGGAACUCGCAGAGCAGGACGCUGUAGGCCAAAUAUAUUUUUAUAAAGAUGCUGUUGCCUAUGGGAACGGCCUUCUCCCAGAGCUGCUUCGGGGAGCAGGAAGCAGACCCGCGAGGGAAGGAAGGACCUGGAGGCGGAGGGAAGGGACAGGAAGGAGGUCGCGCUGGACGCUGGGAUUUGUACUUUGAUUCUGAACCCGUGCCAAUAAUACCAUUAUGUGCCAUGUACUGACCCGAAGGACUUGGGGACAGAGCUGCAGCCACGCGAGCCGCGAGGAGACGUCGUACAGAAAGCAGGAGCGAGAAUCUCUUCCGCCAGAGUCGCUGUUUCUGGUUACUAUACAUAUAUAAAUAUAUAAAUACACACACACACACACACACACCCCUUUUUUGUACUGUAGCAAUUUUUGAAGAUCUUCAAUGUUCCUUUUUAAAAAAAAAGAAAAUGUGUUCUCAGUUACGAAAUCAGAUUUAUUGAACAUGCUUAGUACGCAUAGAAUGAACUGGUGUUUUCUACUCUGCAGACUCGCACACGUGCACACACACACACACGUACGCACACACAUCCGCAGACAUUGGACACGGAGCUCCACCCGUGAGCAUACUCCUUCUGGUGACCUGGCGCCCCGCCGCCACCCGUCCCGGGCGGCCCCGACCCGCACGCGGCGACCCUGACCUGGCAAGGUCCGCACGUGCUGGGUGCCUGCUGGGUGGCGCCAGAGGUGUGCUGAAGUGUCAUCUUGGGCCAGAACGAAGAACGCCAUGGUUUUAUAUACAUACAUAUAUAUACAUAUAAUAGAUAGACACAUAAAUAUGACCUUUUUCCAUUUACCUGUUUGAAGAAGCUACCUGACAGCCAUGUGCGCCCUUGUGUGGCCGGCCGCUCACCAGCUGGCCUGAGCGCCACAUUGGGAGGGUGGGUGGUGGGCUCCUGGCCAUCCUUGUGUUAUACGAGCCUAGACCGGAUUAAAGAAAAUGUUCCAGUUCCAAAA